GCGGUAUUUAUGUCCAUCAACAAUAACAACUCCAAGAAAACAGUUCUAAUAUGCUACUAUAACAUAUUACCAGUUCAUUUCAUGGGACAAUACAUGAAAUUCAUCAAAAAACAAUGAUGUAAAACAAAUCUUUCCCGA